CACAGCUUAUCCUCCAGCUGCUAAUGGUUUAGUAGAAAGAUUCAAUAGAACUUUGUUAGAUAUGAUCUCUCAAUAUUGUGAGAAGGGUUUUAAUAUAAGCAAGCAAGUAAAGAUAGAUAUAAAAAGAAAAAGUGGCGACAAAAAGAUGCCUGUGUUACGAAAUAACCCUUGAGAAUUAAUGAACAAGAACUUGGUUGUGUAAGAGUUAUCACUUAGAAGUAAGCAGCAAGACACGUGCAGUACUUAAAAUAAGUUUAAGAGGCAAGCUUGGAAAUCAGUGACCAAGGUCAGCAGCAGAGUUAGAAAGAACUGUUGUAUAAAAACAGGAUGUUGACAGUUUGAUGGAGUGCUGACCUCGCUCUCUUAGCACUAGGAAAGCUGCAGAAAAGCUUAGAUUUGGUGAAUCAUAUCGGCACUUUGAGGCAGUAUUAGUUACAGCCCAUGGGUGUAGCAGUACAAGUGAAUAGGCGGCCGGCUAACGCUACUUAUCUAUGACCAAUUACUUGAGAGUUUUUGUUUAGGUUCUGGUUUAGCUCGGGAAUUCCCCUAAAGUAUCCAAUAGGAGCACAGGACUACUUGUGGGUGAUGUUGUGUCCUAUUUAGUGGGUCGAAUUAACACAGGGAAAUUAGAGUUUAAAAACCCAUGUUAGAGGCUGAAAAGUAAGUUCUCCCAGACUGAAGAAAAGCUCUCCAGGGCUGAGAAGAAGUUCCAAGUUCUCUGCUGAAGUUCUUCAUAAUGAAAGUAAAAUUUACAAACUUAGCCGCGGCUUCCAAAACCCCAACUCUACUCUUGAAAAAACAAACAUCGGCUAUUAAAACUGUAGACGCGACAAGAUGUAGAGUUUGUGAAAUAAACAUCAGAGCUUGGGCUGUAACGUCACGUUGUGGCAGUACGUUGAUUCCCCCUCCAAGUUACACCUAGAUACUCGUCAUCAGUGGUACAAAAUGAACAAUCUGAAGGUACUACACAGCCUUCAGAGGUGAUACCAUGUCGCUUGUCUAUAAUGACCAAAAUACGUUUUCUACUUUUGAAGUCUUUCUGUGGCACUGAUGGAAGGUUCACAAUUUAAAGCAUUUGCACAGAAAACAAGUUCUGCACAUGUUUUUAAUCUACUGUUUCGGCUGACACAGAUCUGUAAAUAGGAAUGAAAUCAAGUGGAACUUUCA